rnacentral:rRNA from 1 species
AUACGGAGGGUGCAAGCGUUAUCCGGAUUUAUUGGGUUUAAAGGGUUCGUAGGCGGAUCAAUAAGUCAGUGGUGAAAGCCUGUGGCUCAACCAUAGAACUGCCAUUGAUACUGUUGAUCUUGAGUACACUUGAAGUGGGCGGAAUGCGUCAUGUAGCGGUGAAAUGCAUAGAUAUGACGCAGAACACCGAUUGCGAAGGCAGCUCACUAAAUUGUAACUGACGCUGAAGAACGAAAGCGUGGGGAGCGAACAGGAUUAGAAACCCCAGUAGUCC